rnacentral:rRNA from 1 species
UACAGAGGGUGCAAGCGUUGUUCGGAAUUAUUGGGCGUAAAGCGCGUGUAGGCGGCAUGGCAAGUCGGGUGUGAAAGCCCUCAGCUCAACUGAGGAAGUGCGCCCGAAACUGCUUUGCUUGAGUGCUGGAGAGGGUCGCGGAAUUCCCGGUGUAGAGGUGAAAUUCGUAGAUAUCGGGAGGAACACCAGUGGCGAAGGCGGCGAUCUGGGAAGAGACUGACGCUGAGGUGCGAAAGCGUGGGGAGCAAACAGG